AGAGUUUGAUCCUGGCUCAGGACUAACGCUGGCGGCGUGCCUAACACAUGCAAGUCGAGCGGGGUAGCAAUACCCAGCGGCAGACGGGUGAGUAACACGUAGUCAACCUUCCCGAUAGUGGGGGAUAACUAGCCGAAAGGUUAGCUAAUACCGCAUACGAUCUUCGGUCGGCAUCGAUUGGAGAUGAAAGGAGCAAUCCGCUUUCGGACGGGACUGCGUCCCAUUAGCUAGAUGGUGGGGUAAUGGCCUACCAUGGCGACGAUGGGUAGCUGGUUUGAGAGAGCGACCAGCCACGCUGGAACUGAGAUACGGUCCAGACUCCUACGGGAGGCAGCAGUGAGGAAUUUUCCGCAAUGGGCGAAAGCCUGACGGAGCGACGCCGCGUGUGGGAAGAAGGCCCUCGGGUCGUAAACCACUGUCGAAGGGGAAGAUAUUGACGGUACCCUUGGAGGAAGCCCCGGCUAACUACGUGCCAGCCGCCGCGGUAAUAC
rnacentral:rRNA from 1 species